GACGAACGCUGGCGGCGUGCUUAACACAUGCAAGUCGAGCGGUAAGGCCCUUUCGGGGGUACACGAGCGGCGAACGGGUGAGUAACACGUGGGUGACCUGCCCUCAGCUCUGGGAUAAGCCUGGGAAACCGGGUCUAAUACCGGAUAUGACUCCAUGACGCAUGUUGUGGGGUGGAAAGCCUUGUGCGGCUGAGGAUGGGCCCGCGGCCUAUCAGCUUGUUGAUGGGGUGANGGCCUACCAAGGCGACGACGGGUAGCCGGCCUGAGAGGGCGACCGGCCACACUGGGACUGAGACACGGCCCAGACUCCUACGGGAGGCAGCAGUGGGGAAUCUUGCGCAAUGGGCGAAAGCCUGACGCAGCGACGCCGCGUGAGGGAUGACGGCCUCGGUU
rnacentral:rRNA from 1 species